GAUGAACGCUGGCGGCGUGCCUAAUACAUGCAAGUCGAGCGAACGGACGAGAAGCUUGCUUCUCUGAUGUUAGCGGCGGACGGGUGAGUAACACGUGGAUAACCUACCUAUAAGACUGGGAUAACUUCGGGAAACCGGAGCUAAUACCGGAUAAUAUUUUGAACCGCAUGGUUCAAAAGUGAAAGACGGUCUUGCUGUCACUUAUAGAUGGAUCCGCGCUGCAUUAGCUAGUUGGUAAGGUAACGGCUUACCAAGGCAACGAUACAUAGCCGACCUGAGAGGGUGAUCGGCCACACGGGAACUGAGACACGGUCCAGACUCCUACGGGAGGCAGCAGUAGGGAAUCUUCCGCAAUGGGCGAAAGCCUGACGGAGCAACGCCGCGUGAGUGAUGAAGGUCUUCGGAUCGUAAAACUCUGUUAUUAGGGAAGAACAUAUGUGUAAGUAACUGUGCACAUCUUGACGGUACCUAAUCAGAAAGCCACGGCUAACUACGUG
rnacentral:rRNA from 1 species